rnacentral:sRNA from 1 species
UUGUAGUGGACGGAGAAGAGGCAUCACUCAUGGUCUACGACAUUUGGGAGCAGGUAGGGUGCAAGCAGAGACCCAGGGCAGGGGAGGGAGGAGUGAGUUGGGUUAGGGGUCUGGGAGUGCCAGGCUCGUGUCGGGGGCAUGAGGACUGUUGGGCAGAUGUGUGUGUGUGUUCUCCAGGACGGGGGCCGCUGGUUGCCCAGCCACUGCAUGGCCAUGGGGGAUGCCUAUGUCAUUGUGUACUCAGUGACGGACAAGGGCAGCUUCGAGAAGGCCUCAGAACUGCGGGUCCAGCUGCGGCGUGCACGGCAAACAGAUGAUGUGCCCAUCAUCCUUGUGGGCAACAAGAGCGACCUGGUGCGCUCUCGUGAGGUCUCGGUGGAUGAGGGCCGGGCCUGCGCGGUGGUCUUUGACUGCAAGUUCAUUGAGACAUCAGCGGCAUUGCACCACAAUGUCCAGGCGCUGUUUGAAGGUGUCGUGCGCCAGAUACGCCUGCGCAGGGACAGCAAAGAAGCCAACGCACGACGGCAAGCAGCCGCAGCGCAGCCGCCGGGCAGGCCUGCGUGCAGGGAGAGGACUCUGCCUUUUUUCACAGCCCGGGUGUGCCUGCCCUGGAGGGAGGCUGUUCAGUGCGGUGGCUAUUUGUUUACAUGCAGAUUUUUGUAAUAAAGGCUAUUUCCUGA